rnacentral:misc_RNA from 1 species
GAUCUAUCAUACAACAAGGAUUUGGGAGGACCUCUGCCAACAUCAAUUGGGAGUCUGAAGAAGCUAGAAAACUUAAUUAUGGUUGGUUGUGGUUUCUUUGGUCCUAUCCCCGAUUCAAUAGGAUCACUGCAGCAGCUGGUUUUUUUAUCUCUAAAUUCUAAUAAAUUCAGUGGACAAAUUCCACCUUCAAUUGGCAAUCUAUCUCAACUUUAUUGGUUGGAUCUAGCUGACAAUAAGCUUG